UGAGUUAUUGAAUAAAGCCCAUUAGAUUUUUAAAUUUACUCAGUUUUUUUUUUUUUUUUAAACAGAUUUGUUGUCAGUGUCACAAUCUGAUAGAAAACUUCUGAUGGCUUUGGAGAUAACAAGAAACAGAGACAUGGUACCUGUGAACUCUUUGAGUUCUCUGUCUUCCAUGCCAUUUCUGAUGGCCAUGGCCAAGAUAAUCUUCAAGGAAAAUUCUGGAUGUGGUGCUGGCAAGAGAGACAAAUGUCCACAUUUAAAAGAUGUAUAUACACAUCUCUCUAAUCAAUGGGAGGGGAAGAGGAAGAAAGAGAAAGUAAUUUAUUAUAAAGAAUUGGUUCCUGGAAUUAUGGAAGCUGAGCAGCUCCAAGAUUUUUUGUUAGCAAGGUGAAGACCCAGGAGAGCCAAGGAUGUGGUUCCAUUGAGAAUCUCAAGGCCUGGAAACCAGAAGAUUUGAUUGUGCAUGUUCCCAUCUGAAACCCUUCAGUCUGCAUCCACAUGCAAGAAAAGACUGAUGCCAAAGCUUGUACAGUUAGGUGAAAAGAGUCCCUCCAAUCCCACUCAUUGCUUAUAGAAAGGUCAGCUUUUUUGUUUUAUUCACGCCUUAAACUGUUGGAUAAGGGCCACUGACAUGAGGAAGAAUAUUAUGCUUUGCUCCACCUACCAGUUUAAAUAUUAAUCUUGUACAAAAACACACUCACAGACACACCCACAAUAAUGUUUGACUAAAUAUCUGAGCACCUUGUGGCCCUCUCAUGUGGACUCAUAAAAUUAACCUUCGCACUUUCCUUGGUGAUUUGGUUCAAACUUCUCUGGUAUAUACAUAAAUAUGAAAUUGUAUGUGCAUACUCAUCUUUGCUAGAUACUGUCAAAUCGCUCUCUAAAGGGAUUUUCUUAUUUAUAUUCCCAGCACUUUUUCACAAGUUUAUUUGAUAGACUUCCACUUUGUAAAGUGCUGUUUAAAUUUUAAUUUUCAAGUUUUUAUUGGAUUGGACAUGUGCAUUUAUACAUUUUUAUAAGAAUUGUCUAAAUUCUUGGGAAAGGUGUAGCAAUUCACAUUCUGAUCAUCAGUGCAUGAUAAAACUGCUUCCAUGAAUCCUUAUGAGCAAUUGAUAUUGUCCUUUUUUAAAAUUUUUCCUAAACUAGUGAGUAAAAAGUGUUUUCCCAUUGUUGCAUUAUUCUCAUGUUCUUAAUUCUUAGAGAAGGUUAUCAUUGUUUUGAAUUUAUUAAACAAACCAAUUUUUUUUCUCUUAGGAAUGAGCUGUUCAUAUAUAAUAGAUAAAUAUUUAUCUAAUUUCAUUUAUAUAAAUACUAAUACUCAGAGAAUGUAUACCAAGUUAUUAGAAAUAGUAAACUACUAUAAAAAAUGAACUAGAAAAAUAAAUAGGCUAAAUCCAAAAAAUGAAGACUGAACCAUCCUUGAAUUUCCAUUUGCU
rnacentral:lncRNA from 1 species